AUUACCGCGGCUGCUGGCACGGAGUUAGCCGGUGCUUAUUCUGCAGGUAACGUCAAUUUCCAAGGAUAUUAGCCUUGAAACCUUCUUUCCUGCUUAAAGUGCUUUACAACCCGCAGGCCUUCUUCACACACGCGGCAUUGCUGGAUCAGGCUUGCGCCCAUUGUCCAAUAUUCCCCACUGCUGCCUCCCGUAGG
rnacentral:rRNA from 1 species